AACUUAGCUCAGCUGGUAGAGCAACUGAUUAGUAAUCAGUAGGUCGUAGGUUCAACUCCUAUAGUUGG
rnacentral:tRNA from 1 species